rnacentral:rRNA from 1 species
UGGGGAAUAUUGCACAAUGGGCGCAAGCCUGAUGCAGCCAUGCCGCGUGUAUGAAGAAGGCCUUCGGGUUGUAAAGUACUUUCAGCGGGGAGGAAGGCGAUAAGGUUAAUAACCUUGUCGAUUGACGUUACCCGCAGAAGAAGCACCGGCUAACUCCGUGCCAGCAGCCGCGGUAAUACGGAGGGUGCAAGCGUUAAUCGGAAUUACUGGGCGUAAAGCGCACGCAGGCGGUCUGUCAAGUCGGAUGUGAAAUCCCCGGGCUCAACCUGGGAACUGCAUUCGAAACUGGCAGGCUAGAGUCUUGUAGAGGGGGGUAGAAUUCCAGGUGUAGCGGUGAAAUGCGUAGAGAUCUGGAGGAAUCCCGGUGGCGAAGGCGGCCCCCUGGACAAAGACUGACGCUCAGGUGCGAAAGCGUGGGGAGCAAACA